UACAGAGGUGGCAAGCGUUGUUCGGAAUUACUGGGCGUAAAGGGCGCGUAGGCGGCCUUCUAAGUCAGACGUGAAAUCCCCCGGCUUAACCUGGGAACUGCGUCUGAUACUGGGAGGCUUGAGUAUGGGAGAGGGAUGUAGAAUUCCAGGUGUAGCGGUGAAAUGCGUAGAUAUCUGGAGGAACACCAAUGGCGAAGGCAGCACUCUGGGACGUGACUGACGCUGAGACGCGAAAGCGUGGGGAGCAAACAGG
rnacentral:rRNA from 1 species